CUUUGAAACGUCUCGUCUCAUCACUUGCGACGCUGACAAGACCAUCAAGAUUUAUAAGGAAGAUGACACUGCGAGUGAGGAAAGUCACCCCAUUAACUGGAGACCAGAAAUCUUAAAGAGAAGAAAGUAUUAAGGCUGUAAUAGUUAGUAUUAUUGGAUAUUGCGUAUUGUAUUGGAUGAAUUGAUAUUAUAUAAUGCCCUUUUACAUGUAAUUGUAUUUCUGUCUAAUGUGUGGAGGUAAUUCACUGUAGGAAGGUUUUACAAGUUUUUUGUUCACGUUUUUGUUUUUUCUUCUUUUUUUUCUUUCUUUUUCUUUCUUUCUUUAUUAUUAUUAUUUUUUUAGUAGUCCUAAUACUAAUUAGGAAGUCCUGAUAGUAAUAUGUAUUUCUUAUCAUUGUCAUUAUUAUCUAUAUUAUUGUUUUUUUUAUUGUUUUCAAUACCCUCACUUUUUAUAGCCAGAAUAAGAGUCUACAGUACAAUUUAGGAAAGGAUUUGUCCCCAUAUAUUUUAUAUUUAUAUUUGUAAAUCUUGAUUUUUGUCUAGAAUGACAAGCAACUCUUUGCUAAAAUAUUCUUAACAAUAUGAAAUUUUAGUAUUUUAAAAAGGUUUUCAUGUCCUUGAUUGGGGGAAAAACUUUUAGCUACAAACAAGAAAGUCUUUGUAUGUUUCACUUUGAUUAUUUGAUAUUAAAAAAGGAAAAUAU